AGUUCAGCAGCCCCAGGCCGCCUGGCGCCCGGCGGGUCCGGGUCGAGGAGGCCCUGCCCGACCCACUGUUCGGAUCUGUGGCGCCGACUCUCAGGUGCGCUGCGCCGGGUCUGGCGAGAUCUCGAGGACAGGACCGGCCUGGAGGGAAGCUCACCCGUCCCGCAGCGCCUCGGAUUAGAAGACUCUCGCUGAAACCCCAGAGCCGCCGCCGCGCCGCGGAUGACAACACCACUCGAGCCGCCGCAGCCGCCAUUUCUGCUAGAAGGAAGGUAGAGGAUGAAGGAUGUGCUUCCGGGGUCGCGACCUGAGGUCCCAGAGCAGGGAGGUGGGCUCCACCUUGUGGCCGUGAUGGGAAUGACACUCCUCGAAGCGGUUGUGAAAGCAAUCAGGGCCCGACCAUGAUGCUGAGCGGUCUUUACCAAAUGAAUUGGGGAGUCUGCAGAAGCCCCUUUAUCAUCAGUUAUUUUAUCGAUCGCCUACUAAGUGCAAGGCACAAAUGCGGUGGAAUGAAAGGUAACCUGAUGCAAUAUAUCUCACUGGUGGAUGGAAUUGAUUGAAAACAGUGGAAUAAUAUUCAUAAGUCACUGCCUUUAAAGGAAAAGUCUAGUGGGAGAGACAGAUGCCGUGAGGGGAGGAAACGAUGUAUCCGUGUUGACCACUAUCCACUCUUCGAACCUCUACAAUAUGGCUCAUCUCAUUCCAUAGAAAUUGCCCUUGGUAAGGUCACUAAUUGCUAAAAGUUGGACACUUUACAGACUUAUGUUACAGUCCUGUUGGAGGAUUUGACAUUGUUGGCUUCUUUGAAAUUCUCUUUUCUCAAUAUAUUCUAGAGCUCCACCUCCUCAUAGUUCCCUCUGCACCUUCUUGGACUCCUCUUUAUUCACAGAUCUGUUUUUUGUUUUUGUUUUUGUUUUUGAGAUGGAGUUUCACUCUUGUUGCCCAGGCUGGAGUGCAGUGGUGCAAUCUCAGCUCACUGCAACCUCUGCCUCCUGGGUUCAAGCAAUUCUCCUGCCUCAGCCUCCCAGGUAGCUGGGAUUACAGGCAUGUGCCACCACGCCUGGCUACUUUGUAUUUUUAGUAGAGAUGGGGUUUCACCAUAUUGGUCAGGCUGGUUUUGAACUCCUAACCUCAGGUAAUCCACCCACCUCCACCUCCCAAAGUGCUAGGAUUACAGGCGUGAGCCACUGCGCCCAGCCCACAGAUCUCUCAAGGAACUAAAAAUUGCAAAUGCUUUUCUAACUCAGGUAGAUGGUAUAGUGCUUAUUUUGCAAUUAAGACACUGAAGUCAAAUAACUUGCCCCAGGUUACCCUGCUAGUAAUAGGUUAACGCCAAAGACUGUGCUGUGAAACACUACAUUUUGCCCUAAAAGUUGGUGUUUGCCAGGACUCUAAGCCUCUUCUACUGAACAUUCUCCCUCUGGGUUUUUCCCUCCACUUCAAGACCUGUCUGCCCAACCCAGGCCUUUCUCUUGAGCUCCAGCCCACUUAACCAUCAACUACUAGGAAACUACACUUGAAUACCCCAUUGGAAACUCAAUAUCAACUUGUCCAAAAGGGAAUUCACUGUGUCCCCUGAAUCUCUUCCCAUAUUUGCAAUGCCAAACAGCCAAUCAUACCUACAUUUGCCCAAAACUCCAAACCACCCAGAAGCUCCUCUCUUUUUCCAUCUUCCACAUUCAAUUGAUACACCCCUUUCCUGCCUCUUCAAUCUACUCCAGGCCCAUUGUCAGUUUUUUCACAUUACUACCUAUAGGAUCUUUUACAAAUGAAACUGUUACGGCAGUCCCAUUAUGAAGAAUCCAUCAGGGAGCCCUUGGUCACAAUAAAGUAAAGGGUCCUUAGCAUGGCAGGUGGGGCCCUUCAUGAUCUGACUCCCAUUUAUCUUUCCAGACUCAUCUCCCUCCACCUACCCGGCUGCUAUGCUUCGCAGGUUCAGUCCACAAGACUCAUGAUGUAAUGUAAUAAAGGACGACCAAGGUUAUUCUCUCAUGUUUCUAAAACAAAUGUGUGUUAACCAAAAAUAAAUACAAACAUGCAUACAUAUAUACAAAAACAUGUAGGUAUAAUCACAGGAAGCACCUAGGAAGUUUUAGCAAGAAUUUGUAUUCAAUUCUAAUAUACUUCAUGGUAUUAAUUUAUUAGUCAUUAUUUACAGUCAAUAUCUUAGAACAUAAAGCCUACAGAAAUUAAGUGCACCAGAGUAGAGCCAAGAAAUCAAAGAAUUUGACUACUCCCAAAAUAGCCCUACACCCACAACAGUAUCCAUAACUUUUUUUCUUUUUUUUUUUUUUGAGACGGAGUUUCUCUCUUGUUGCCCAGGCUGGAGUGCAAUGGUGCAAUCUCAGCUCACUGCAACCUCCGCCUCCGGGGUUCUAGCAAUUCCCUUGCCUCAGCCUCCCAAGUAGCUGGGAUUACAGGUGCCCACCACCACACCCGGCUACUUCUUGUACUUUUAGUAGAAACGGGGUUUCACCAGUUUGGCCAGGCUGGUCUUGAACUCCUGACCUCAAGUGAUCCUCCCGCCUCAGCCUCCCAAAGUGCUGGGAUUACAGGCGUGAGCCACUGCACCUGGCCUAUUUUAAAUGAUUUCUUCACUGACUGGAUUUUACUGGCAGAGUCAUUGCUAUUUUUGUUGUUUGGAAAUUUUAAUCAUGGAUGUCAUAUUCCUUUAAUUCUUUCAUGUUUGAGGAUGUCUGCUUUUAUCUUUAUACUUGAAUGACAUUUUUGUCUGGAUUUAAUAUUGUUGGGUCACAGUUUCAUUUUCUCAGAAUUUUAUAAACAUUACUCCAUUAUGCUCUUGAGUUAAAUGUUUUGGAGAAGUCUGAGGCUAGCCAGAUUUUUUCUUUUUUUACCACCCUUAAAUGUGACCUGUUUUAUCUGCCUAAAAACCUAAAAAAUUAUUCUUGAAGUUCAGUAACUUAACUAGGCUAUAUCUUAAUGUUGAGUAAUUUUUGUGUUGUGAUUUUUAUCAAAAUUUUCAAAAACAUAAUAUGUUUUCAUUCUGCAGUUUCACUUCUUCCUUCAUUUUAGAGAAAGUCUCUUUGAAUACAUAUUCUGGCAUUCCAUUCAGUAUGUUAUCUUUUCAAGGACUGCAGCUCUCCUUAUGCUGAAUGACUUUAUCUGUCCUUCAUAUUUAUUAGCAUCUCUCUAACUUUUUAAAGCUUUGUCAUUUUCCUCUACUUUUUUUGUGAUUAUCUCAAGACACAAGUAGGCCUACGCAAACAUGCCCUACUAAUUUUUAGCAAACGUGCAGAGGCAAUUCAAUAGAUGAAGAAUAGCAUUUCAACAAAUGCUGCUGGAACAAUUAGAUGUUCAUAUCCACGGCUCCCCGCUCCCCAACUCCCAAUGAACCUAAACCUCACACUUUAUACAAAAAUUAACUCAAAAUAAAUCAUGGAUGCAAAUAUGUGACAUAAAACUAUAAAACUUUUAGAAAAACACGUAGGAUAAAAUAUUUGGGAUAUAGGAAUAGACAAGGAGUUUUUAGACCUGAUAUCAAAAAUAUAAUGCUUAAAACAAGAUUAAAGCCAGGCGCGGUGGCUCACGCCUGUAAUCCCAACACUUUGGGAGGCCAAGACAGGCAGAUCACCUGAGAUCAAGAGAUCGAGACCAUCCUGGCCAACAUGGUGAAACCCCUUCUCUACUAAAAAUACAAAAAUUAGCUGGGCAUGGUGGCACGCACCUGUAGUCCCAGGUAUUGAGAGGCUGAGGCAAAAGAAUCGCUUGAACCUGAGAGGCAGAGGUUGCAGUUAGCUGAGAUCGUGCCACUGCACUCCAACCUGGUGACAGAGGAAAACUCCAUCUCAAAACAAACAAACAAACAAAAAAAACAAGAUUAAAAGCUUUUGCUCUAAAAAAGAUGCUGUUAAGAGGAUGAAAAGACAAGCUACAGACUGGGAGAAAAUAUUUGCAAACCACAUAUUCAGCAAAGGACCUGUGUCUGAAUUAUGCAAAAAAACCCUCUCAAAAACAGUGAAAAAAAAUGGGCAAAAGACAUGAACAGACAUUUCACUGAAGGAGAAAUACAGAUGGCAGAUAAGCACAUGAAAAGAUGUCCAAUAUCAUCAAUCAUUACAAAAUGCAAAUUAAAAUGAUGAGCUAUCGCUACACAUGUAGCAGAAUGGCUCAAGUGAAAAACAGCAAUAACACCACAUGCUGGCAAGGAUAUAGAAAAACAAGAUCACUCAUACAUUACUAGUGGGAAUAUAAAACUCCAGAGUAGUACAGCCACUUAUUAUACAACCCAGUAAUUGAACUCCUGGGCAUUUAUCCCAGAAAGAUGAAAACUGAAGUUUACACAAAAACAUCUACACAUAUAUUCAUAGCAGCUUUACUCAUGAUAGCCAAUAAUUGGAAAUAAUGCAAAUGUCCUUCAACAGGUGAAUGGUUAAACACACUGUGGUACAUUCGUACCACGGAAUACUACUCAGCUCUCAAAAGGAAUGAACUACUGAUAAAUGCAACAACUUGAAUGGGCCUCAAGGGAAUUAUGACAAUACCAAAAGGUUAUAUGCUAUAUGAUUCCAUUUAUAUAACAUUCCUGAAAUGACAGAAUUAUAGAGAUGGAGAAUAGACUCGUGAUUCCCCAAGGGUUGGACUGGGGAGGGGAGAAGCGCAGGGACAAGAGGGAGAUGAGUAUGGCUAUGAAAGCGUGGCAUGAGAGGUUCUUGAAGCAAUGGGACCAUUCUCUAUUUCAACUGUGCUGCUAGUUACACGAAUGUACACAUGUAAAAUUGCAUAGCAUUAAAUACACACAAAUGAACGCACAUAAAACUGGUAAAAUAUGAAUCAGUUCAGUGUAUCGUAUCGACGUCAAUUUCCUGGUUGUGAUAUUGUUUCUAUUCAUGCAAGAUGUUAUUGUUGGGGCAAACUGGAUGAAAAGUAUAUGGGAUCUCUCUGUAUUAUUUCUUACAGCUACAGGUGGACCUACAAUUAUCUCAAAAUAAAAAGUUUAAUUAAAAAAAAUGAGGUUACAUUUCCAAAACCUUUUUCUUUUUAUGGGAAGGGGACAGUGGGAGAAGAAUACUGCUUUCUAUCUGUUGACAAUUAUGUAUUAUAGUCAUGCAUUCAAGUACACACACACACAUCACCAGAGCUCUUACACAAAUUGAAAUAGGAAGAGAAUCUCA
rnacentral:lncRNA from 1 species